UGGGGAAUCUUGCGCAAUGGGCGAAAGCCUGACGCAGCAACGCCGCGUGAGGGAAGAAGGCCUUCGGGUUGUAAACCUCUUUCAGGAGGGACGAAGCCACCAGGGUUAAUAGCCUAUGGGGUGACGGUACCUUCAGAAGAAGCCCCGGCUAACUACGUGCCAGCAGCCGCGGUAAUACGUAGGGGGCAAGCGUUGUCCGGAAUCAUUGGGCGUAAAGCGCGUGUAGGCGGCUUGGUCAGUCUGGCGUGAAAUCUUGGGGCUCAACCCCAAGCCUGCGUUGGAUACUGCCUCGCUCGAGUCCGGGAGAGGAAAGCGGAAUUCCCAGUGUAGCGGUGAAAUGCGCAGAUAUUGGGAAGAACACCGGUGGCGAAGGCGGCUUUCUGGAACGGUACUGACGCUGAGACGCGAAAGCGUGGGGAGCAAACAGG
rnacentral:rRNA from 1 species